rnacentral:rRNA from 1 species
UACGUAGGGUGCGAGCGUUGUCCGGAAUUAUUGGGCGUAAAGAGCUCGUAGGCGGUUUGUCACGUCUGCUGUGAAAUCCCGAGGCUCAACCUCGGGCCUGCAGUGGGUACGGGCAGACUAGAGUGCGGUAGGGGAGAUUGGAAUUCCUGGUGUAGCGGUGGAAUGCGCAGAUAUCAGGAGGAACACCGAUGGCGAAGGCAGAUCUCUGGGCCGUAACUGACGCUGAGGAGCGAAAGCAUGGGUAGCGAACAGG